UACGAACGCUGGCGGCAUGCCUAAUACAUGCAAGUCGAGCGAACAGAUGAAGUGCUUGCACUUCUGACGUUAGCGGCGAACGGGUGAGUAACACGUAAGGAAUCUACCUAUAAGCGGGGGAUAACAUUCGGAAACGGGUGCUAAUACCGCAUAAUAUCUUCUUCCGCAUGGAAGAAGAUUGAAAGACGGCUCUGCUGUCACUUAUAGAUGACCUUGCGGUGCAUUAGUUAGUUGGUGGGGUAACGGCGUACCAAGACGAUGAUGCAUAGCCGACCUGAGAGGGUGAUCGGCCACAUUGGGACUGAGACACGGCCCAAACUCCUACGGGAGGCAGCAGUAGGGAAUCUUCCGCAAUGGGCGAAAGCCUGACGGAGCAAUGCCGCGUGAGUGAAGAAGGCCUUCGGGUCGUAAAACUCUGUUAUAAGAGAAGAACAAAUUGUAGAGUAACUGCUACAGUCUUGACGGUAUCUUAUCAGAAAGCCACGGCUAACUACGCGCCAGCCGCCGCGGUAA
rnacentral:rRNA from 1 species